GAGAGAGGCUCGCAGCAACGUAAACUGCUAAUUUCCGUAACCCUAGUUGAAUCCCAGGGCUCACUCA